rnacentral:rRNA from 1 species
AGAACGAACGCUGGCGGCAUGCCUAACACAUGCAAGUCGAACGAGACCUUCGGGUCUAGUGGCGCACGGGUGCGUAACGCGUGGGAAUCUGCCCUUAGGUACGGAAUAACUCAGGGAAACUUGUGCUAAUACCGUAUGAUGUCGAGAGACCAAAGAUUUAUCGCCUAGGGAUGAGCCCGCGUAGGAUUAGCUAGUUGGUGGGGUAAAGGCCUACCAAGGCUACGAUCCUUAGCUGGUCUGAGAGGAUGAUCAGCCACACUGGGACUGAGAUACGGCCCAGACUCUACGGGAGGCAGCA